rnacentral:rRNA from 1 species
GACGAACGCUGGCGGCGUGCUUAACACAUGCAAGUCGAACGGAGUGGCGAACGGGUGAGUAACACGUGGGUGACCUGCCCUGAACUUCGGGAUAAGCCUGGGAAACUGGGUCUAAUACCGGAUAGUGUGGGAUGGGCCCGCGGCCUAUCAGCUUGCUGGUGGGGUACUGGCCUACCAAGGAGGCGACGGGUAGCCGGCCUGAGAGGGUGGACGGCCUCAAUGGGACUUGGACACGGCCCAGACUCCUACGGGAGGCAGCAGUGGGGAAGAUUGCACAAUCGGCGGAAGCCUGAUGCAGCGACGCCGCGUGGGGGAUGACGUCCUUCGGGUUGUAAACUCCUUUCACCAUCGACGCGGUAGAUGGAGAAGAAGCACCGGCUAACUACGUGCCAGCAGCCGCGGUAAUAC